rnacentral:rRNA from 1 species
GACGAACGCUGGCGGCGUGCUUAACACAUGCAAGUCGAACGGAAAGGCCCUGCUUUUGUGGGGUGCUCGAGUGGCGAACGGGUGAGUAACACGUGAGUAACCUGCCCUUGACUUUGGGAUAACUUCAGGAAACUGGGGCUAAUACCGGAUAGGAGCUCCUGCUGCAUGGUGGGGGUGGGAAAGUUUCGGCGGUGGGGGAUGGACUCGCGGCUUAUCAGCUUGUUGGUGGGGUAGUGGCUUACCAAGGCUUUGACGGGUAGCCGGCCUGAGAGGGUGACCGGCCACAUUGGGACUGAGAUACGGCCCAGACUCCUACGGGAGGCAGCAGUGGGGAAUAUUGCACAAUGGGCGGAAGCCUGAUGCAGCAACGCCGCGUGCGGGAUGACGGCCUUCGGGUUGUAAACCGCUUUCGCCUGUGACGAAGCGUGAGUGACGGUAAUGGGUAAAGAAGCACCGGCUAACUACGUG